GUAGGUGGCAAGCGUUGUCCGGGAAUUAUUGGGGCGUAAAGCGCGCGCAGGCGGUCCUUUAAGGUCUGAUGUGAAAGCCCACGGGCUCAACCGUGGAGGGUCAUUGGAAACUGGGGGACUUGAGUACAGAAGAGGAAAGCGGAAUUCCAAGUGUAGCGGUGAAAUGCGUAGAGAUUUGGAGGAACACCAGUGGCGAAGGCGGCUUUCUGGUCUGUAACUGACGCUGAGGCGCGAAAGCGUGGGGAGCAAACAGGAUUAGAUACCCUGGUAGUCCACGCCGUAAACGAUGAGUGCUAAGUGUUAGGGGGUUUCUGCCCCUUAGUGCUGCAGCUAACGCAUUAAGCACUCCGCCUGGGGAGUACGGCCGCAAAGGCUGA
rnacentral:rRNA from 1 species